rnacentral:rRNA from 1 species
UACAGGGGGUGCUAGCGUUGUUCGGAAUUACUGGGCGUAAAGCGUGCGCAGGCGGUUUCGUAAGUCUGUCGUGAAAUCCCCGGGCUUAACCUGGGAAUGGCGAUGGAGACUGCGAGGCUAGAGUUUGGCAGAGGGGGGUAGAAUUCCACGUGUAGCAGUGAAAUGCGUAGAGAUGUGGAGGAACACCGAUGGCGAAGGCAGCCCCCUGGGUCAAAACUGACGCUCAUGCACGAAAGCGUGGGGAGCAAACAGG